rnacentral:rRNA from 1 species
CUCGUAGGCGGUUUGUCGCGUCUGCUGUGAAAGCCCGGGGCUCAACCCCGGGUCUGCAGUGGGUACGGGCAGGCUGGAGUGCAGUAGGGGAGACUGGAAUUCCUGGUGUAGCGGUGAAAUGCGCAGAUAUCAGGGGGAACACCGGUGGUGUAGACGGCUCUCUGGACCGUAACUGACGCUGAGACACGAAAGCGUGGGUAGCAAACA